rnacentral:rRNA from 1 species
AGAACGAGCGCUGGCGGCAUGCCUAAUACAUGCAAGUCGAACGAACUCUUCGGAGUUAGUGGCGCACGGGUGCGUAACGCGUGGGAAUCUGCCCUUGGGUUCGGAAUAACAGUUGGAAACGACUGCUAAUACCGGAUGAUGACGAAAGUCCAAAGAUUUAUCGCCCAGGGAUGAGCCCGCGUAGGAUUAGCUAGUUGGUGAGGUAAAGGCUCACCAAGGCGACGAUCCUUAGCUGGUCUGAGAGGAUGAUCAGCCACACUGGGACUGAGACACGGCCCAGACUCCUACGGGAGGCAGCAGUAGGGAAUAGUUGGACAAUGGGCGAAAGCCUGAUCCAGCAAUGCCGCGUGAGUGAUGAAGGCCUUAGGGUGUAAAGCGUACUUUUACCCGAGUAUGAAUAAUGACGUAAGUAGUCGGGAAGAAGUAACGCCCCGGUACUAACGUCCGUAGCCAGCGAGCCG